GGGGAUGUCAACUGCCAGNUCGACGGGGGGACAGAAGGGAAGAUCCGGUCCGGAAGGUCUGUGCAUGAGUGGCGGACGGGUGAGUAACGCGUGGGCAACCUGGCCUGUACAGGGGGAUAACACUUAGAAAUAGGUGCUAAUACCGCAUAACGGGGGAAGCCGCAUGGCUUUUCCCUGAAAACUCCGGUGGUACAGGAUGGGCCCGCGUCUGAUUAGCCAGUUGGCAGGGUAACGGCCUACCAAAGCGACGAUCAGUAGCCGGCCUGAGAGGGCGGACGGCCACACUGGGACUGAGACACGGCCCAGACUCCUACGGGAGGCAGCAGUGGGGGAUAUUGCACAAUGGGGGGAACCCUGAUGCAGCGACGCCGCGUGGGUGAAGAAGCGCCUCGGCGCGUAAAGCCCUGUCAGCAGGGAAGAAAAUGACGGUACCUGAAGAAGAAGCCCCGGCUAACUACGUGCCAGCAGCCGCGGUAAUACGUAGGGGGCAAGCGUUAUCCGGAUUUACUGGGUGUAAAGGGGGCGCAGACGGCGAUGCAAGCCAGGAGUGAAAGCCCGGGGCCCAACCCCGGGACUGCUCUUGGAACUGCGUGGCUGGAGUGCAGGAGGGGCAGGCGGAAUUCCUGGUGUAGCGGUGAAAUGCGUANAUA
rnacentral:rRNA from 1 species